AGAUAGGUUCAAAGGAUUCUCCAAGGUGGCAGUGUGCAGGUUCUUGUAUAAGUGAGUCAGAACCGUAGGCCCAAGUCCUACAUCAGUGUGGUUGUGCAGUGCUUCUGCCAAGUACUUAUACUCAAGCAGAACUGCUGAAGAACGAUUUGGGAAGAUAAAUCUGUUCUGCCAGUACAGAAGAAACAACGUAUGCUGCUGAUCCUUGUCCUUCUCAG
rnacentral:lncRNA from 1 species